GUCACUCGCCCGACAUCCCCGGGCUGAGCAUGUCGUCUCUCUCCUCCCCCUCACCUCUUCUCCUCCACCGCCCUCUCGUCUUCGCCCCCUCUCCUCCCCUCCGGCACAUCUCCCCCGCGAUUCCAAAGCCCUCCUCUCCUCCGCCUUCGGCCCGGGCCGGAGCUCGACUUUCUCGCCGGAGCCGCGGCAGAACCAUCUCUUCUUGCUCCCUCGAGCCCGCCCCCAUGGAAAGAACUUCCAUCGCCGAGGUCUCUCUUCCUCAGGACCUCCUAUCAUAUGCAAGGGCUUACUGGGUUGCUAGAUUUUUGAUUGCUUGGAAUAUCAAUGAUGACGAUGAUGCUUGUGUUUAUCUCUAUGCUAGUAGAAAGGCAAGCAUAUUCCUUACAGAUGAGGGCAUUGAAGGGUACGAUGUGAAAAUUUUGCUUGAACCAGAAUACAAUGGGCUUCCAGCAAAUGUAACCGAGAAGUUUCCUCAUAUUGUAAACUAUAGAGCUUUCAAGAUUUCACAAUCUGUGGAUAUUGGAAACCUUCUCAAAUGCCAGUUAGCAGCUGCCUUCUAUGUCGACGGGAAAUGCGAGAAUGCUACUGGUCUGCAAUUGCCUGGUGUCUUAGAUGACUUAUUUGCAUACAAUGGCCCUCUUGGAGCUGUGUUUAGUAAGGCAGCUGUUACACUUUAUCUUUGGGCUCCUACAGCUCAAGAGGUGAGUGUAUGUGUCUAUGAGGAUCCAUUAGGUGGGGAACCAGUGGAAAGUGUCCAACUUGAGGAGUUUGGUGGUGUCUGGAGUGCUGUUGGACCAAGAAGUUGGGAAGGUUGUUAUUAUGUUUAUGAAGUUUCAGUCUACCAUCCGAGCACUUCACGAAUUGAGAAAAGCACAGUAAAUGAUCCUUACGCUAGAGGACUUUCAUCAAAUGGGAAGAGGACGUGGUUGGUAAAUCUUGAUAGUGAAAAUUUAAAACCAGAGGGCUGGGAUAAGUUGGCAGAUGAAAAGCCAGGUCUUCUUUCAUUUUCAGACAUCAGUAUCUAUGAGCUGCACAUACGGGAUUUCAGUGCCAGUGACUACACUGUGAAUUGCGAUAUUCGAGGAGGUUAUCUUGCUUUUACUUCUCAGGAAUCAGCUGGUAUUUACCAUCUGAAGAAAUUGUCAAAUGCUGGUUUGACUCAUGUACAUUUGCUUCCAAGCUUUCAUUUUGCUGGUGUUGAUGAUGAUAAAAGUAAUUGGAAAUAUCUUGGUAAAGAUGAUGGAGAGAUGGCUAAGUUGCCCGCAGACUCAGAUAAGCAACAAGCUGUAGUUACAGCCAUUCAGGAUGAAGAUGGCUAUAAUUGGGGAUACAAUCCUGUGCUCUGGGGAGUUCCAAAGGGAAGCUAUUCUGGCAACCCAAAUGGACCAAGUCGUAUUCUUGAAUUCCGAAAGAUGAUUCAGGCAGUCAAUCGAAUUGGUCUUCGUGUUGUGUUGGAUGUUGUCUACAAUCAUUUGGCAGCAAGCGGCCCCUUAGAUGAGAACUCUGUUCUUGAUAAGGUUGUUCCUGGAUACUAUCUUCGUAGGAACACUGAUGGAGUCAUCGAGAAUAGUGCUUGCAUGAAUAAUACAGCUAGCGAGCACUUUAUGGUUGAGCAUUUAAUUCUUGAUGAUCUCCUAAACUGGGCGGUGGCUUAUAAGGUUGAUGGUUUCCGGUUUGAUCUCAUGGGACACAUUAUGAAGAGGACCAUGGUGAAGGCAAGAUCUACUCUUCAAAGCUUGUCAAAAGAAAAAGAUGGAGUGGAUGGUCCAAAAAUCUACAUAUAUGGUGAAGGAUGGGAUUUUGGUGAAGUUGCGAAAAACAAACGUGGGAUAAAUGCAUCACAAUUUAAUAUCUGUGGAACUGGCAUCGGGAGUUUCAAUGAUCGAAUACGAGAUGCGGUUCUAGGUGGAUCACCUUUUGGUCAUCCACUUCAACAAGGCUUUGUUACAGGUCUAUCUUUGGAGCCUAAUGGGUAUGACCAUGGUGAUAAAUCUGUCACAGACAGAAUGCUUUCAGCAUCAGCAGACCACAUCCAGGUUGGAUUAGCAGCUAAUUUGAGAGACUUUGUUCUUACAAAUCAUGAAGGAAAAGCUAUGAAAGGAUCUGAAGUUCUGACUCAUGAUGGAGUACCAGUUGGAUAUGCUUUAAGCCCCACAGAAACAGUCAACUAUGUGUCUGCACAUGACAAUGAAACUUUGUUCGACAUAAUCAGUUUGAAGACUGCACUGGAACUCUCAGUAGAUGACAGAUGUAGGAUAAAUCAUUUGGCCUCCAGUCUUGUAGCUCUUUCACAGGGAAUACCAUUUUUCCAUUCUGGUGAUGAAUUGUUGCGGUCAAAAUCCCUUGAUCGUGACUCGUAUGACUCUGGUGAUUGGUUCAACAGGCUUGACUUUAGCUUUGAAUCAAACAAUUGGGGUGUUGGACUUCCUCCAAGAGAAAAGAAUGAAAAGAAUUGGCCUCUGAUUAAGCCACGGUUAGCAAAUCCAUCCUUCAAGCCUCAUAAACAUCACAUUCUUGCUGCAGUUGACAAUUUUGUAGAUCUUUUGAAGAUUAGAUACUCUUCACCUCUAUUCCGUCUGAUGACAACAAAUGCCAUUCAGGAAAGAGUUCGUUUUCAUAAUACAGGACCCUCAUGGGUCCCAGGAGCCAUUGUUAUGAGUGUUGAAGAUGGACAUGAAGGAAGACCUGGCAUGGCUCAGCUAGAUCCAAUGUAAUCUAUUCGUAUAUCGUUAUUGUCUUUAAUGCAUGCCCGACUAAAAUCUCAUUACAAAUUCCUGCAUUGAAAUCAAGAAUGCUUCAGUUGCAUCCUGUACAGUUGAAAUCGGCAGACGAACUAGUUAAAGAAUCAUCAUACGAGGCUGCGUCCGGGUGUUUCACCAUUCCUCGGAGAACAACAUCAGUCUUUGUUGAAGUUAGGGGCGCUUGAGCAUGCCUGGUAUCUUUUGCUUUCAUAAGAGUGCGAAAGCAGUGAGGAUAUUGGUAACUGUUUUAGAUGCAGUAGCAACAUGUCUAAAGUUUGUCAUAGAAGAAAUUUAGAAUUAAUUGGAAAUAUACAAGGCUGAUAGGAACAAUGCUGUAUUUUGACAGUCAAAGGCUGUAGGAGGAAUCAGAGCACUACUCUCCAGCAGUUGAUUAACUCCAUCCUAAAACCUUGAAAUAAAAAUGCCUUGUGCAACCUUUAUGAAUGUGACGCUAUCGGUGUGGAUAUGAUGCAACUUUUUUGUUUUUUUAUCAAUGUUUCCAAAUUACUGGAAGAGCCAAAAUUUUUGUGAUGGAUGAUUCUGUUGUUAGCUUCCACAAAUCUCAUGCGUCUCUCUGAAGGCUGCAUGGUUUAACU